rnacentral:tRNA from 1 species
ACCUGGCUGGCUCAGUCCAUAGAGUGUGUGACUCUUAAUCUCAGAGUCAUGAGUUCAAGCCCCCUGUUGGGUA